ensembl:snRNA U6 U6 spliceosomal RNA
GAAAAAAAAAAUGGUGCUCAUAUACUAAAAGUUAGAACAAUACAGAGAAGAUUAGCAUGGCCCCUGUGUAAGGAUGACAUGCAAAUUUUUGAAGUGUCCCAUAUUUAU